rnacentral:rRNA from 1 species
GCGGUUGAAAGCUCGUAGUUGGGUUUCUGCGGAGGAAGCGCGGUCCGCACUUGGUGCGUGUAUCUGGUCUACCUACGCAUCUUCCAGUGAAACGCUACUGCGCUUUAUUGCGUGGCGCGGCAAUCUGGACUUUUACUUUGAGGAAAUUGGAGUGUUUACAGCGAGCGAUUGGUUUGAACAUAUUAGCAUGGAAUAAUAACCUAGAACCUUGGUUCUACUUUGUUGGUUUCUAGACUAGGGUAAUGAUCAAUAGGGAUAAUUGGGGGCAUUUGUAUCAACACGUCAGAGGUGAAAUUCUUGGAUUGUGUUACGACGAACCACUGCGAAAGCAUUUGCCAAGGAUGUUUUCAUUGAUCAAGAACGAAAGUGCAGGGAUCGAAGACGAUUAGAUACCGUCGUAGUCUGUUUUGUAAACUAUGCCGAUUAAAGAUUGGAGGUCGUUCUUAUUGUGGCUCCUUCAGUAAUUUAUGAGAAAUCAAAAUUCUUGGGUUCCGGGGGGAGUAUGGUCGCAAGGCUGAAACUUAAAGGAAUUGACGGAAGGGCACCACCAGGAGUGGAGCCUGCGGCUUAAUUUGACUCAACACGGGGAAACUCACCAGGUCCAGACAUAGCAAGGAUUGACAGAAUGACAGCUCUUUCUUGAUUCUGUGGGUGGUGGUGCAUGGCCGUUCUUAGUUGGUGGAGUGAUUUGUCUGGUUAAUUCCGUUAACGAACGAGAUCUUAUCCUGCUAAAUAGGAACGUGUGUCUUCGGACAUGCAGGUUGCUUCUUAGAGGGACUUUGCGAAUUGCAGCGUAGGGAAGGUUGAGGCAAUAACAGGUCUGUGAUGCCCUUAGAUGUUCUGGGCUGCACGCGCGCUACACUGAUGCGUUCAACGAGUAUGCCUUGUCCGGCAGGACUGGGGAAUCUUGUGAAAGCGCGUCGUGAUGGGGAUAGAACACUGUAAUUAUUG